rnacentral:snRNA from 1 species
GUGCUUGCCUCGGCAGCACGUAUACUAAAAUUGGAACGACAAGAUCAGCAUGGCCCCUGCGCAAGAGCAACAAGCAAAUUCAUGAAGCGUCCCGUUAAAAA